rnacentral:rRNA from 1 species
GGGUCAUUAGGUUGGUCGUGCCACCGGUACGUACUGGUCUCACUGAUUCCUCCUUCCUGAAGAACCGUAAUGCCAUUAAUUUGGUGUAGCGGGGAAACAGGACUGUUACUUUGAAAAAAUUAGAGUGUUUAAAGCAAGCUAACGCUUGAAUACAUUAGCAUGGAAUAAUGAAAUAGGACGAUCGAUCCUAUUUUGUUGGUUUCUAGGAUUGACGUA